CCUACGGGAGGCAGCAGUGAGGAAUAUUGGUCAAUGGCCGGAAGGCUGAACCAGCCAAGUCGCGUGAGGGACGACUGCCCUAUGGGUUGUAAACCUCUUCUAUAAGGGAAGAAUAAAUGCUACGUGUAGCAUGAUGCCUGUACCUUAUGAAUAAGCAUCGGCUAACUCCGUGCCAGCAGCCGCGGUAAUACGGAGGAUGCGAGCGUUAUCCGGUUUUAUUGGGUUUAAAGGGUGCGUAGGCGGUUUUUUAAGUUAGUGGUUAAACGUCGGGGCUUCACCUUGAUUUGCCAUUAAUACUGUAAGACUCGAGUUCAGACGAGGUAGGCGGAAUAAGUUAAGUAGCGGUGAAAUGCUUAGAUAUAACUUAGAACUCCGAUAGCGAAGGCAGCUUACCGGACUGCGACUGACGCUGAAGCACGAGAGCGUGGGUAGCGAACAGGAUUAGAUACCCUUGUAGUC
rnacentral:rRNA from 1 species